AAGAUGUUCACGCCUGCGCAGUUAAGCUAUGUAGAACUGAGCUGCAAAUAAAAAAACUAGUCGUCCUUGAAAGUUCCUUAGCCGAAAUAGUCCUGUGACGCCGGUCGUUCGACAAACAACGCAGGGCACUACGUAAAGUGCCAAACUCAGGGUGCGGGGUCCUCAAUUUGUCCUCUAAGACAGCUUAUUGGGAUAUUGGAAGCAAUUCAAGACCCAAGACAAGCUCUUGCGUUCUUCUGUACCGGUAGAAGCGCUUGUGCAGAACCGUUACUACGCCCCGACAUGACGGAUCUCUGUGCUAUGAAUUCCAGGAAAACUGCAUUUCCCACAUUGCAAUCAAUACCUUAUGUUUAAAAGAUAUAAGCCAUUUUAUUUGCUCUUCGGCGUUUGUUGCGCUAGGUAGGCCUGGAGGUAGGUCCAUAAAGGACUGUUCCUCCUGUUUGCAACGUAUUGUAUGUUGAUCUGAACAUACAUCACUGUGUCCCUUACAUCUAUUGGAUCCCAUGAGCAGGCCAUAGACUAACUUGGCUGCUGAGAAAGUCAACGAUUCCACUGCACAGGUACACAGGGUGGGACUGUCUAUGCAAUGCCGGCAGCAAUACUGUUAUAUUUAUACCCGCGCGAAAUGUUAGCGCGCGGCCUUCACCCCCACACGCGAGAAAAACAAGUCCCCAUCCUGGCCCCACAGAACAAAUUUCCAACUUAUAGCUUGUAAUCACAGUGGAGGUAUGUGGUGUCAGAAACACCAUCACCACCAUCAUACCGCAACACGGGAAUGCUGAAGGAAGCCAGCGCAGUGCUGGAGCAUCCGCAGCGCUGGCUCAGGCUUGGCUGGGAUUGGCAUGAAGUGUUCCGGGGAAGGCCGAAUAUCUGAUCGCGGACUCUCCCUGCUUGCCAAUUUUUUGAAGACAUUCGAACGUAAGGACAAGAUCUUACUGCUUAACACGUGAUCUACCUAAGAUAUAUUUCCAACUGCCAUGUUGGCUCAGUACGGCAGCUCUGGUGGCUUCAGAACAUCUCCACAUCUCCACAUCAACGUUGGUCAGUCAUGGAAAGCAAGUGCGAACCCAAUCAAUGGCCCAAAUCGCCAAAGUUGAAAUUUGUUGGCCCAUUGCCUGCCCGCGGGGCCCCUUAGUAACUUCUAAGGUAGCUAGAUCAACAUCUGGCCAAUCCACGGUCGCCUGCGCUGUUGCAUGACCCGCAAAUCCCCCGCUAUCCUUUAUGCAGCCGCAGCGAUAAUGGAGGAGUGUGGCGGCGGCGGCGGCGGCAGAGGCAACGGUGGUGGCAACGGUGGUGGCGACGGUAGCUGAGGCGAUGGCGGUGUGGCGUGUACGGCAGUAAGUUGGUUAGCGAAGGGCAGGUCCCCCGGGGCUGCGUUGCUACAGCCGCCUCCGUCACCUCAUCGCUGGGGCCACUUGGCCCACUGGGGCUACUGCCACUGCCACUGUAGCCGCCCGUGCUGCCGGGCACCGUCGUUUGCUCCUCCCAGCCCUACCCCUCGUGGCAGGUGCCGUACGUAUCAUGUCUCCUAAGUUAGCACCGCCACGUGCACGUGCACACAGACAUGUCUCCUAGAUCCGGCUCUUGUAUCCGGCGGCCGUCGCGGGAUGCUGUUGCCGUUGUUUCCGUUAGACCGCAUCCUGCGGCUGUGCGGCUGUGCUGCGCCCCGCAAAGUACCCGCUCUAAGUAUCGCACCACCUUGCUUCACACCGACAAACCACACCAACAACCAAUUACGCAAGGACCAACCUUCUCCACCAACACAUGUGCACAUAUCCAAAAUGACAACAAGCUUUCUUUCCAAUCCUUAUGUCCGGGAUCCGGCUUGCUCAUAUUCCACCGCCCCUUUAACCACACGCAGCAGCACCACUAGCAGUAGCAGCUGCUACUGCUCACGCGGGUAUUGUCGAGCUGUGGAAUGAGGAUCCGGACCUUCAUGCGAACACGUCAUGCUUGCCGCCCUUCACUUAAGCGUCACGUAAGCAUCGCAGGUUGGCCUUCUCAUCACCCCCCUCCCCCUCCUACGUUCUACGUUUGUUACUCUCUUGCCCUGGCAGCAGCUUCAAUCGUGUGUGGUUCGUCUUUCCCUCCCCCUCCUCCCCCUCCUCCCCCUCCUCGUCCUCCUCCUCCUCCCCUUCCUCGCCAGUGAUUUUUUUUCGUUUAGGACGGGUCUCAAUUUAUUCCAACCUAAGUAACAAAGUUGCGAGGGUUGUCGUAAUUUAUUCAUUAAUUGUGAGGCGCUGGGGGGGGCUCUGGCCCCCCCCCAGCUUGGAAUGGAUCGCCGGCCUCACCGCAUCCACUGUUGUUGUUGUCAAGCUGAUUGGGCGAUAGCUUGCGCUUAUGCUGUUCACACCCGCCAUGGAGGGCAGGGGUAACAUCGCCCGUGUCAUCGGUCGCCGCUGGCAGCAACACCAUUGCCGAUGCAUUACCGACAACAGCACCCCCAUCCCGAACGCCUUUAUCACAAAAAUUUACAGGCUUAUCUUGCUGUUUUGGUGUUUGUUCGACGUUUGAUUGCCUUGUGCGUGUUUGGCUUUGUGCGUGUUUGGCUAUGUGAGGACCGGUCAUACAUUCUGCUAUGCCGUGUUGACUCACAGGCUUGACCUUCUUACGGCCCCUCAUAUCUAUUCUAUGAUUGAAAAUACUAAGUUCUGCACACUACGAAGCAAUCUGGCAGAAAUGGACGUUUUUGGCUGGAGGAAUGUCAAGGUACGGGUCGGCCUCAAUUAAUUCCUUUUUUUCAAAAGCCAAAAUGUCAAUUUAUUCCUUUUUUAUUAACAUUUUACUUAGAAAAACGCUGCUCCUCGCCCUCCUCGCCCUCCUCACCCUCCUCGCCCUCCUCCUCCAUGGUCGCACAGCCAAGUCCUGAAGGGCUGUAGCUGGAACAGGUGGAAGUGAUUAUGAUGCUGGAGGGCUUGAAGGAGGACAUCACGUGUGCAGUACAGAGGCUCUGAGGCUUCUGUUCUGCUGAUCUGGAGUUGCAAUGCAUUGGGCUGAUUAUGAAAGAGAGCCAAGCAAAUCGCCAGCAAACGAACAGAAGUGGAUCGCGAGUGACCCACGGGUCAGUUUAUAGUUAGAUGCAAGCAAAGGUGUAGCCUUUGCAGAAGGAGGCUUGGUUCUAAAACCUUUUUAAAUGUCCUCAUGUGGGUCAGACGUGAAGCAUGGCGCCCUCUAGUGCUGCGGAUAGCGGUAAAGAAAGCCAAAAGCGCCGAUUUGUGUACGCGGGUCUUACCGAGUGUCCUGAACUUUGCUUCUUUAAUCAGCUUCUGCUUUGUAAAUUUGUGCUCCUAUAUUCCUACUUCUUAUUUAAGCUCUUCCAAGAAUGGAUGUACCAAGGGAAUGGGAAGGAAAAACGUUCAAUAUAAAUAUCCACAUAUGAAAU
rnacentral:lncRNA from 1 species